CGCCCGCACCCAAUCACCCGCGUCUCGCCCCACUCCCACCCCAGCCGCCAAACGAACCCUAGCCCUCUUUCUCUUUCCCCUCGAUCCCCACGAGCCGCCGCACCCCUCCCUCGAUCCCCACCAUCCUCUCCUCGCCAGCAGCCGCCGGCCGACCUCGUCUCUCCACUCGCCUCCUCCUCUCCUCUAUCAUGUCGCCGUCGAUCCCAUCGCCAGCCUUCUCCUCUGCUCGCCACCUCCUGUCCUCUUCCAUGUCACCGUCGAUCCAGAUCGGACGUAGGUCGUCUUCGUAGGUGUAGGAUGCGGACGACAAGGGAAGGAGGAGGCCGACGAGGAAGGCAAGCAACAGCGGGGAAGGAGAAGGUGAGCGAUCCUAGCAUGGGGAAGGGGCAGGGUGAGGCCUCGCGCACCUGCCGGCGGCCGGCAGGUCGACUUGUUGCGCCACCGCGUCGUCGCCUCCUCUGCACCAUGAGAGGCGCCACCUCUGCCUCCACCCCCCCACUGGGCAAGGAGCUCGAGGUGAACAGGCGGUGUGGGAAGGCGAGAGGAACCAGGAGCUCAUCCCUCCUCCCAUGGCUGCCUCGUGGAUCUGGAGGUGCCUGUUGCAGGCGGCUCGAGCGAUGCAAGCCGGCGGCGAACUAGAUCAUGCUAUGUUUUAGCGCUCAUGGAGUUCCUCUGUCAUACGUUGAGUCUGGUGAUCCUUACAAAACAUAUAUGGAAGGCUAUGGAUCUUAUCAUGGAUGAGCUCGAAAAUAUAGGAAUUUCAAAUCCAUGUAUACAUCACACUCAUACCCGAAACUGAACAGGGACAAGCACAUGCAAUUAUAUGCUGUGGUAGAUUUCAAAAGAGACCCAUGGCUCAGAGUAGUUUUGCGCAAAUGAAGGAUACCAGACUGACCCAUAGAGCAUGAGACCCUCUUUGUCAGGGGCCACCUUACUUGUAUGGCCUCGGGCUGAGGGGACCCUUCUAAUUAAGUUGUUGCAGAUCCUAUGCGCCUGCCUCCUUCCUCCAGCUGCGUGAAGGCUAACGUGAGGAGCUGACGAGCUAAAGAAGGAGCUGGAGCAGGACUGUAGGAGGGAGUUACACUAGGGGCCGGAGCAGGACAACCAUUGUUUCAGAUCCACUUGACUCAUCCCAACUGGUUGCAAUGUCCAUGGACAUUGUCAUAAUGGUCACCUUAUCGUAUUAUUUUUGGAUCUCAUAUUCCUCAAGGCGCUCCAUUCUCUGAUUCGAUGUCUGGCGAUCUGAGAAAUAAGAGGAGGAAUAAUCCAGCAGAAGAAUUUGGUGAAGAAGAACAAGAAAAGAAUACCUUUAUCCUGAUAGGCAUGGAAACACCGGUUCGCAUUGAGUGCAUCAUCGCUAAUCAACUACUAUGUAUGGUCAGCGGACAUGCAUGCUUAUUCCCGUAACAUAUCAUUACUCUAUCUCCUUAGCCUUUCUAACUUUUAAGAUUUGAUCAAUUCUUUAGAAGUUCGUACAGAUCUAGAACUAUUUGGUUUUGUUGGUCAAAUCCAUUACCUGUAUGUCCUUAUUUAUUUUAUUGUUCGAACAAGAUAUCAGAUCACCUACAUUCAUUAUUCUUGAUUACAGUCUCAUACUAAAGUAGUCUAAAAUGGUCUGAAUAGUUGUAGUGAUUCAUAAAUAUUUUCAGUGUAGUUCUUAUUUGGUUUCUAGGCAUAGAAUUUACUUUAAAUUUUUUAUCUUUAUUUGGUUAGUAAGGCUCUAGAAUAAAACAGACCAAUGAUAUAUAUACAAACAGACUCAAUAGGAGUUAACGGGUACCUAGCUUUUGAAACCUCUGAUAUAUACAAAAUAUUAUUUGAGUAGAACAGGAGAGAUGCAAUCUUAUGGAUAUUUCCGCAUUUGUAAGAAACUUUCCAGCUUGGCAAGAGGGCUUGACUAGCCAUGUGUAGGACUCAGCCAUGCUGCCUUCCAAAUGAUUAGUCAUUGGUGUUUUCUUAUGUUCCUGUUAGCCCCAGUGCAUCAGAUAAGUAGACUGUUAUGUUGAAAAAAGGAAAGACUACUCUUUUGUUACUUACAGUACAGAUAUGUGAUAUAACAUCAGAGAGCAAUGGAUAUAGAAGAAAUAUGUAAACAGUUGUCCCUAGAAGAAAUAUGCAACUACUUAUUCAGGUUACUUAAUUAAUAACGCAUCUAUAUCAUCAUACACAUACUGAAUGUGCCUUUUGAGAGUGAGCUUCUGUCAGUACCUCACACUUAUCUUAUAUGCCAUUCCAACUAUCUGUUGCGGUAGAGAGCAAGGGACAUAUAAGAAAUCUCCAGGCAGCUUCACUUAGAUGCAUCAUCUUCUGCUAGGAGUCAGCUUGAAGAACAACCUUCUCAGGUUAAUUCUUGGGUCAGUGUUUCGGCUUUUCUCCAUUGGUUCGUAAAAACCGAAUGGUAACUUGACUUUACAGAGAGCCUGCUGCACUAUAACUUUGGUUUAAUCUGUUGAUAAUGCCCAUGAGUAUAUUCUUAGUGUAUGUUUGACCAGAUUUUUUUAACUUGUGUUGUUCCUAUGCUUCAGGAGACUGCAACUGACAUGCUGGAUGGGGAAUAACCAAAUUUGUGGACAAAGACAGAGUUCAUCGCAAGGGGUGGUGUUUAGGAUAUAUACACAAAAGAGGAAACUUUUUUUGUACAGAACCAAAUUAUAUGAUGUAAUAGACCACUAUUUCUAAGAAAUGUUCAUCAUGUAUUGAGUACAUUUUUUUGUGUCACUUUUUUUUAGGGGUAGCUUUAUUCAUUAAACAUCACAAAGUGUGCAAUAGAGUUCAUCAAACCAGGCUUUAUUGUGUCACCAAUGUUUACCUUC